GACGAACGCUGGCGGCGUGCUUAACACAUGCAAGUCGAACGGUAAGGCUCCAGCUUGCUGGGGUACACGAGUGGCGAACGGGUGAGUAACACGUGGGUGACCUGCCCUGCACUUCGGGAUAAGCCUGGGAAACUGGGUCUAAUACCGGAUAGGACCGCACCGUGAGGGUGUGGUGGAAAGUUUUUUCGGUGUGGGAUGGGCCCGCGGCCUAUCAGCUUGUUGGUGGGGUAAUGGCCUACCAAGGCGGCGACGGGUAGCCGGCCUGAGAGGGUGGACGGCCACAUUGGGACUGAGACGCGGCCCAGACUCCUACGGGAGGCAGCAGUGGGGAAUAUUGCACAAUGGGCGGAAGCCUGAUGCAGCGACGCCGCGUGGGGGAUGACGGCCUUCGGGUUGUAAACUCCUUUCACCAUCGACGAAGGGUUUCUGACGGUAGAUGGAGAAGAAGCACCGGCUAACUACGUGCCAGCAGCCGCGGUAAUACGUAGGGUGCGAGCGUUGUCCGGAAUUACUGGGCGUAAAGAGCUCGUAGGUGGUUUGUCGCGUCGUCUGUGAAAUUCCGGGGCUUAACUCCGGGCGUGCAGGCGAUACGGGCAUAACUUGAGUACUGUAGGGGAGACUGGAAUUCCUGGUGUAGCGGUGAAAUGCGCAGAUAUCAGGAGGAACACCGGUGGCGAAGGCGGGUCUCUGGGCAGUAACUGACGCUGAGGAGCGAAAGCAUGGGGAGCGAACAGG
rnacentral:rRNA from 1 species